UGAGUAUACUUGGCUAUUUUUUGGCAGGGGUAACGAAAUAUAUCGGCUGUUCUCUACAGUAAGUGUUUCUUUAUGUGUUGCCCAUCGGAAUAUAAUACAACUACAUAAGCUUGAUAGAUGUAAGAUAACGAGUUUCACAAUCCCAUUUUAAAUACUAUGGCUUUUGGCAGCCUGGUUUUGCAUCAUAUGUGUUUUUCAGUAAAAGCCCCAUUUUCCUACUUCCCCAACGUGUAAUACGCGAAAAAACUUUGUUAAUAAUAACAAAAAUUUGUAAUAGUAAACAGUGUAUUUUAUUAUAAAGGAUUUUCGUUUUUCUACUGCUCCAUACUUCGUGUGCUCCGUGCCCCGUGUGCUCCGUACUCCGUGUGCUCCGUGCUCCGUGUGCUCCGAGCUCCGUGUUUUACUAAUAGCCAAAGAUUUUAGGCGCCUGGGAAUUUAAAAUAGCACAACUGUCAAAAUUACUGCACACGCGAGUGCAUAAAGCAAAAUUUAUGCAUUUAUUUAAUGCACAACAACAGUAAU